UGGAGGGAACUCUGACCCAGCCAUGCCGCGUGCAGGAUGAAGGCGUUAUGCGUUGUAAACUGCUUUUAUAUAGGAAGAAACAGACCUUGCGAGGUAAAUUGACGGUACUAUAUGAAUAAGCACCGGCUAACUCCGUGCCAGCAGCCGCGGUAAUACGGAGGGUGCAAGCGUUGUCCGGAUUUAUUGGGUUUAAAGGGUGCGUAGGCGGUUUAUUAAGUCAGUGGUGAAAGACGGUCGCUCAACGAUUGCAGUGCCAUUGAUACUGGUAGACUUGAGUGUGAUUGAGGUAGCUGGAAUGGAUAGUGUAGCGGUGAAAUGCAUAGAUAUUAUCCAGAACACCAAUUGCGAAGGCAGGUUACUAAGUCACAACUGACGCUGAUGCACGAAAGUGUGGGUAUCAAACAGGAUUAGAUACCCUGGUAGUCCACACUGUAAACGAUGAUAACUAACUGUUGGCAUUCGUGUCAGUGGUACAGAGAAAUCGUUAAGUUAUCCACCUGGGGAGUACGCCGGCAUCGUA
rnacentral:rRNA from 1 species